rnacentral:tRNA from 1 species
GGUCCUAUAGCUCAGUUGGUUAGAGCACCUGACUCAUAAUCAGGGAGUCCUUGGUUCAAGCCCAAGUAGGACCA